rnacentral:piRNA from 1 species
UCAGACAAUCAUAGGUAGCCAGCUGCCAAGU